CCUUCGAUAGCUCAGUUGGAAGAGCGUGGGACUGUAAUGGAAACGCUGCGAUCCCGAGGUCACUGGUUCGAUCCCGGUUCGAAGGA